rnacentral:rRNA from 1 species
GACAGAGGGUGCAAGCGUUGUUCGGAAUUAUUGGGCGUAAAGGGCGCGUAGGCGGCUACAUAAGUCAUUUGUGAAAGCCCGGGGCUUAACCUCGGAAGUGCAAGUGAUACUGCGUAGCUUGAGUCUCGGAGAGGGUGGUGGAAUUCCCAGUGUAGAGGUGAAAUUCGUAGAUAUUGGGAGGAACACCGGUGGCGAAGGCGACCACCUGGACGAAGACUGACGCUGAGGCGCGAAAGCGUGGGGAGCAAACAGG